AGAAAGAACUGAACAACAUAAGGAGCUGAUGAGACCAGACAGAUGUGCAGCAAAUCAUGGGCAAUGGGUGAAGCUCAUCUAAGUCCCAGAGAGCUUCCAGAAAUAACCCAGUCAGACGGCCCGCCUGUGAGUGGUGUCUUUCCAAAUGAGCACUACAUCUUUCUGCAUUAGCCACACUUUGCUAUGGGAGCACAACAACACACUAUUCUCUUACACAACACUGCUCUCUUCCACUGACUGUAAGUGAGAUGGAGUUAAAUUGGCAUGAGAAUAAAAGAGCGAACUGUAAGAUGUAAGAUGUCAAUUCUGGUUAAGGAAAGCUGGAAAAAUUUGGACUUUUUAAACUCUGAGGAGUUAGAGGGUGCAUAACUUGGAAAAUGUGGAGAGUGGUUGUGUGUAGUGACUGGGCUACACUAGCUUCUCCAGCCAAUGUGAGAGGCCUAAUCUCUGACCCUUGGUAGCUUUAGCUCUCCUUGCCGGGCCAGCCACAGACAAACAAAAGCUGGAUGACUGCCACAGCAGCUUCAUGUCAAGCAGUGAUCCUGUGCUCCUGAAAACAAGGUGACCAGAGAGUGUCACAUUCUGCUGGCCUACUUUACAUGGCUGACUGUUCUGUUUCUGUUUUCCCCAUGGUUUAAUCAGACUCAGAUCACUUGUCAGUAAUAAAAGCAUUCUCCUCUGG